CUAGAGUGCAAAUCUAGAGAAGCACACUGAGGUGUGCCGGAGCUUCUUUU
rnacentral:tRNA from 1 species